rnacentral:tRNA from 1 species
GCCUGGGUGGCUCAGUUAGAAGAGCAUGUGACUUUUGAUCUUGGGGUCGUGAGUUCAAGCCCCGCUCUGGGCC